GACGAACGCUGGCGGCGUGCCUAAUACAUGCAAGUCGAGCGGACUGAUUAAGAGCUUGCUCUUAUGCCGUUAGCGGCGGACGGGUGAGUAACACGUGGGCAACCUGCCCUGUAGAUCGGGAUAACACCGAGAAAUCGGUGCUACUACCGGGUAAUAUCUGAGAUCACAUGAUCUUAGGUUAAAAGAUGGCUCCGGCUAUCACUACAGGAUGGGCCCGCGGCGCAUUAGCUAGUUGGUAAGGUAAUGGCUUACCAAGGCGACGAUGCGUGGCCGACCUGAGAGGGUGAUCGGCCACACUGGGGCUGAGACACGGCCCAGACUCCUACGGGAGGCAGCAGUAGGGAAUCUACCGCAAUGGACGAAAGUCUGACGGAGCAACGCCGCGUGAGUGAUGAAGGGUUUCGGCGCGUAAAGCGCUGUUGUUAGGGAAGAAACAGUACCGAACGAACUAGGUCGGUACCUUGACGGUACCUAACCAGAAAGCCACGGCUAACUACGUG
rnacentral:rRNA from 1 species